rnacentral:rRNA from 1 species
CGUGCUUAACACAUGCAAGUCGAACGGGAUCCGGCCAGCUUGCUGGUUGGUGAGAGUGGCGAACGGGUGAGUAAUGCGUGACCGACCUGCCCCAUGCUCCGGAAUAGCUCCUGGAAACGGGUGGUAAUGCCGGAUGGUCCAGCAUGCUGCAUGGCGUGUUGGGAAAGAUUUAUCGGCGUGGGAUGGGGUCGCGUCCUAUCAGCUUGACGGUGGGGUGAUGGCCUACCGUGGCUUCGACGGGUAGCCGGCCUGAGAGGGCGACCGGCCACAUUGGGACUGAGAUACGGCCCAGACUCCUACGGGAGGCAGCAGUGGGGAAUAUUGCACAAUGGGCGCAAGCCUGAUGCAGCGACGCCGCGUGAGGGAUGGAGGCCUUCGGGUUGUAAACCUCUUUUAGCAGGGAGCAAGGCUUCGGUUGAGUGUACCUGUUGAAUAAGCACCGGCUAACUACGUGCCAGCAGCCGCGGUAAUACGUAGGGUGCAAGCGUUAUCCGGAAUUAUUGGGCGUAAAGGGCUCGUAGGCGGUUCGUCGCGUCU